ACGAACGCUGGCGGCGUGCUUAACACAUGCAAGUCGAACGGAAAGGCCCUGCUUUUGUGGGGUGCUCGAGUGGCGAACGGGUGAGUAACACGUGAGUAACCUGCCCUUGACUUUGGGAUAACUUCAGGAAACUGGGGCUAAUACCGGAUAGGAGCUCCUGCUGCAUGGUGGGGGUUGGAAAGUUUCGGCGGUUGGGGAUGGACUCGCGGCUUAUCAGCUUGUUGGUGGGGUAGUGGCUUACCAAGGCUUUGACGGGUAGCCGGCCUGAGAGGGUGACCGGCCACAUUGGGACUUAGAUACGGCCCAGACUCCUACGGGAGGCAGCAGUGGGGAAUAUUGCACAAUGGGCGGAAGCCUGAUGCAGCAACGCCGCGUGCGGGAUGACGGCCUUCGGGUUGUAAACCGCUUUCGCCUGUGACGAAGCGUGAGUGACGGUAAUGGGUAAAGAAGCACCGGCUAACUACGUG
rnacentral:rRNA from 1 species